rnacentral:rRNA from 1 species
ACGGAGGGUGCAAGCGUUAAUCGGAAUUACUGGGCGUAAAGCGCACGCAGGCGGUCUGUCAAGUCGGAUGUGAAAUCCCCGGGCUCAACCUGGGAACUGCAUUCGAAACUGGCAGGCUAGAGUCUUGUAGAGGGGGGUAGAAUUCCAGGUGUAGCGGUGAAAUGCGUAGAGAUCUGGAGGAAUACCGGUGGCGAAGGCGGCCCCCUGGACAAAGACUGACGCUCAGGUGCGAAAGCGUGGGGAGCAAACAGGAUUAGAUACCCUGGUAGUCCACGCCGUAAACGAUGUCGACUUGGAGGUUGUGCCCUUGAGGCGUGGCUUCCGGAGCUAACGCGUUAAAUCGACCGCCUGGGGAGUACGGCCGCAAGGUUAAAACUCAAAUGAAUUGACGGGGGCCCGCACAAGCGGUGGAGCAUGUGGUUUAAUUCGAUGCAACGCGAAGAACCUUACCUACUCUUGACAUCCA